CCCCACUAUUGGCAAAAUUUUGUUCCAAUUUUAUAAAUUCA
rnacentral:misc_RNA from 1 species